UACGUAGGGCGCAAGCGUUAUCCGGAAUUAUUGGGCGUAAAGAGCUCGUAGGCGGUUUGUCGCGUCUGCCGUGAAAGUCCGGGGCUCAACUCCGGAUCUGCGGUGGGUACGGGCAGACUAGAGUGAUGUAGGGGAGACUGGAAUUCCUGGUGUAGCGGUGAAAUGCGCAGAUAAUCAGGAGGAACACCGAUGGCGAAGGCAGGUCUCUGGGCAUUAACUGACGCUGAGGAGCGAAAAGCAUGGGGGAGCGAA
rnacentral:rRNA from 1 species